UGCUAAAAAACAAAUUAUAAAUUAUAUUAUAAUAGUUUUUUAUAAUAUUUGUGAAUAAUUCUAUUUCUUUUUUUCUUCUUUUUCAACAUAUUAAAAUAUUUUUUCGCCUAAUGUACUUAUAUAUUUCAUAUCAGGAAGAUAAAUGAUUUUGAUUUAAAUGUAAUGUAGGAAUUGCUCUUUUUUAGCGUAAAUUAUUUAUAUUAAUAAUAAAUAUAAAUUUUAAAAUUAUUAAAAAAUAUUAAUCAAAAAUGUUAAUUAUUAAAUAAAUCUUUUGUUAGUUAUAUAUAUAUUAAAAUUGAAUAUAUAUUAAAAAUAAAUUUAAAAUUUUUAUAUUAGAUAUUUUGAAUAGUAUUUAAUAAAUUCAAAUAUGAUAAUGUUUAGGGCUUGUAAUACUAGCAGACAUUGAAUGCGCUAAAAAUAAGGAACUUAUGGAUGAUAAUUCGUAAAGAUGCUUGUUGGCAUUCUAUCGUUUUCUAAAUAUAUAGUACACACAUUUUUCGCAGUCGAUUUCUUCAUCAUCCUUGUUAAACUUGUUGAUAUCAUAAUUAUGUGUUCUUAUAACUACUAUUUAAAAUUCAGAUAAAAAUUCCAUUUAAUAUCAAACUAUAAUCAUAUACAGACUAACAUUAUAUUGACAUUAUAUUAGAUUUUAUAUUUAAUGAUUUUGUAUUUAAAUAACAUAUAUUUUUAUAUAUGUAUGUAAAAUUAUUUAUCAAAUUUUAAUUAUUAUAACAUCAAUCAAUGUUUAUAUCUUUUACAAUUAAGAAAAAUAUGUAAUAUAUAUGUAAAUUUAAAUAUCAGUAAAAUAUUUCAUUAAAUAAAGUGCGGAAGCAAUAAUUAUGCGAAAACUUGAUUAUUCCGUUUUCGAAUAGCGAGCGGUAUUACGUGUAUUACGAUUGGUUGGGGCAUUGCUUGGAUCAGCCAAUCGAAAACUGCGACACAAACAGGAGCAUCGCCUUUUCUUUUUGUUGACGCAAUGGUGUCGCUAAAUUUAGUAACGCGCGUACUUCAUACUCGGCCUGGAUCAUUCGAACGCUUUCGCACGUAUUCCUAUUUCAUUCUCGGCAAGAGCGAUCGAAGGUCAUCGGAAAUAAAUUUGGAAUACGUGAUCUAAAUCCUCGUCCAUUAAUGCUUGUUUCUGGCAACCGAAUUAAUUUCUUCGUAAUUGCAUAGUUUGGUUAGUCACUGAACGUAUUUCUAUAUAGUAAUUGAAUUGAUCGUUGAAACUUAAUGAGUGUUGAUAUAUUAUUCAAGUUACUAUUAAAAAUUAUGAUUAAAUAUUACAAGAAAAUAAUUACACGUUUGACGGAUUUUCAAAUUUAUAGAAAUAUUCAAAAAGAUAAAAAAAUGUAUAUAAUUAUAUAAAAAAAUAAAAAUUCUUAAAAUAUAUAAUGAUUUUAUAUUUUAUAUUUAAUUAUUUUAAUUAUAUUAAUAUUGUAUAUUUUAUAAUAUUGAAUAUUACAAAUAUUAUUAGGAAACAAUACUUUAUAUUCAAAUUUUUUUCAUAAUUUAGAAUAUUUGGCGCGAUUUUUGUUAUAGGGUAAUUGCUGCCAACAUUAAAUUUUAGCUCCAUAUUUAACAAAAAAAAUUAUUAUAAAAAAAUCGAAAAUUUAUUAUUUAAUUUUUAAUAAUCAAUUGUUUUCUUUUUAAUAUCGAAAAAUAAGAAUAAUAUAAUGUAUAUUAAUAUUUAAUAAUAACUUUUUUCCAUUUAAAAAAUUUGAUAUAUUACUAAUAUGAAUGUUUGUUUUUUAAACAUUGGUACACCUGAAUUUGAAAUAGUUGCUUAAACGUUCGGUUGAAAAAGUGAAGUGCGAUUUGUUAUAAUGUAUUAAAUUAAAUUUUUAAUAAUUAAGUGAAACAAAUUCUUAAUAAUUAAGUGAAACAAGUGUACAAAAUGAAUUACAUCUAUUAAAAGGUGUCUCUGGGGGCUACAUUGAUGAAAUCAUUCUUCCAAUAUUCAGGAUUUCAUCAGGAACAAAAUACCUACAAGGCGAUGCUGAUCGUUGCACGCCGAUCAAUCUUUAUAAACGAACGAAGCCGAUGAAGUUGAGAAAGUUCCUGAAAUUGCGGAAUUGCGGAUGAUAAAUAGCGUAACGAAUGCAACAACGUUCGGAAGAAAAAUGAAUCGGCGGAACGGAAGAAUGAAUUUUUAUUUAUCGGUAACCGGAAAACAAUUUUACAAUGGACGGCGAGAUUUGUGUCAAGACGAAAAUAUAUUUUCCUCGUGAGUUUCGAAAUUGAUCCUGCUGUGGUUAAAAGAGAAAACAAUGAUUCCAUUACAUUCCCUCGAGAUAAAGAAGAAACGAUGAUACUCAAAGGUUUUAGCCUAUUGGAAUUGUCACUUUCUGUAGGCAAAUCCCUACUGAUAGAGAUUGAGUAGUACUAUUGACACAGUAUUUUCGCUUACAAUGCACUCUUGCUAGAAAAAAAAAGGUAUAAAGAUGAAACAGAGGUACAAAGUGAUUUUUACAUAUAUAUAAGAAUAAUGAACAUAGAAAACAUAUUUGAAAUUAAACUUCAGACUCUUAUCUUUAUAUUAAUUCCAAUAUUUUGCAAAUUUUUAUUUUUCAUAUCGAUAAUAACUAUUAAUAACAUGAAAUAUAUAAAUUUUACAACAUAACAAAAUUUUAAAAUUAUAUCUCCAUUUUUUUAUUAAAUAUCAAUUAACUUCAAUGGCAACAAGAAUUUUUAAUUGAAAUAAAUUUCCGUUCUAAAUUUCUAAUUUACAAAAUAAUAUAAAUUAUCUUUCCAAGAAAUUUCUUUUCAAUAUUGCAGCUCGUCCACAAAGACGAAUGCGUUACGAAUACAACACAACGUGAAAAUACAUACAUUCUCGAAUUAAAAGUACGAAAAGUUAAAGAAGACGGAUAUGCACACGAGAGAGGUGUACACGCAAAAAUGUUCCCCGGCAUAAUGUUAACACAUGUAUCAUUCAUGAUUCAUAAAUAAGACGACAGCACGAUUUUCUACCUAACUCGAUUCGCAAACGAUUCGAAUUGACAAACACUUGGUGUUACGCCGCGGCUGCUAACCCUCGGAUUUCCCAGACGAAGCGAAACAACUUGUGCCAAAUACAGUUUAACACCGCUUGCAUCCCAAUAGGCGAGCGCUCUUGAAAUAUUCCACACCGUGUGCUCUCUGCAUGGACGUUGUAUUUUUGCAGAUCGCCUCCCCUUUUUAAAAUUUUCCCCUCCCCCAUCGUGAUCUCGAUACAAGGCAAAUAUUUUCGCGUCUAACGAAAUAUAUAUCCCUCCCCUCCUUUCCUUCCGCUCCGCCGGUGGUCUGAUUUUCAUCGAAACAAUCGGAACGGGAUAAUUUAAUUUUCUUUUCGCUCGAUGCGAAAACGAGAGACUCCUUCGUGGAACGCGUGUUGCGAAGAGGGAGGUUGUGUUCUAUUUGUUUGCUCGGUUAAUAACACGAGGUUUCGUUCGAUAGCUUCGAUAUUUUUCCUUUGAUUCCAUUGCUCGAUUCAGAUUUUCAGAUACUGGAAACCCUCUAAAAACAAUAUCGCGUUUCGAGGCUUAUUAUAAAAUUUAUUAGAAAAUAAUAAUAGGAAUAAGAAAAGUGAAUUUUUUUUUCUUUUUAGAAAUUCGCUUCGAAGAUAUUUCGACAGGAUUGGUCGAUAUAAUUUGAAAAUUUUGAAAAAAGCGGAAUCUUGAAUUUUGUUUUUAAAAUAAAAUGUCGAAGGAAAGAGCGAAGAGCGGAAGAGGGAAGGAGAAAAGGAAAGCGGAGCGCGUAAGGGGAAACGGGCAAUUUAUGGUCAGACGCAGUUUAUGUUAUCUUCUCUUUUUUAUACCGUUUAUGAUCUAUGAUUAUAAACAAGUUUAAAAUAAUAUAUGUUGGACGAUAAUUUGGUAAACAACCGCAAUCUCUUUUUAAACAAAAUAUUUAUUUGGCUCAACUUUCGAAUCGAGUCGCUUACUUAACCAAUAUUUAAAAAAUUCCAACAAUUUGCAUCAGAAAUUAUAUAUUAAACCCAAGAUAUCCCUGUUAUUGCCCUCUUCGUUCUUUCAAAUUAUUCCAAAAAUGCGUGUUAAUAAAAAUUGAUACAGAUAUUUCUGACAUAUUUAUAGCAUCUGUGUAACAUCUUUGAGGUAAUAAAUUACUCGUAAGGCUUAAAUUUAAAUCCAGAGAAAUAUAGGCAAUAAAUUUUCCAAAACUUGUAUCGUAACGUAAUGCUUUAUUACAAUUAAAAAAAUAAAAUUUGUACUCCUCCCGAUCCUAAUUCGAUUACCACACACGAGCGCACACGUGCCUGAAACAAAAAUAUCACACAAAACGAAUACAGAGCACAGAGGGACGCAAAUAUGUUUAUCAUCGAAUUUAUCUCAACACGUAUAGAUGCCAAGAAUUUACGAUACUCCACGCACUUUUAAAUCUUCCACCCCAUUCCCUCCGGAUCGUUCAACGAAUCACUUCGACGGAAAAUCCUCUAGUUUUCCCCAUCCUGUUCGUCCCCGCAUAACAUCGUUCUAAGGCUAGACGAUCUGAAAACACGAGUCGAGAUUAUAUUAUUCGAAAAAAAAGUGGAGAAAAGUAGCGAAAAAUGUAGGAUCCGCGGAGCUGACCCAAUUGGAACGAUUGGAUGAAGGGGAGGGGAAGAGGAUCGUUAAUAAAACGUUUAGGUGACAUGCCUGACGGUCCACGUCGGACAAGGUUAAGCGGCGACCCUCGAACUUAUAAAUAACCGCGAAACAUUCCCUCACGGAGCAACGCGCUGACUUGGAGAGCGUGGUGGAUCGGCAUCGAGCCGAUGUAGACGCCGCCACGAUCAAAUUGGGAGGCGUUAAUUGGGUCGAGACGGACGUUUCCACUUGAUACGCUCCGUGUUUUCCAACUCUGACGCGCGUACGCCUCGAUCGACGAGGAUACAGAUGUGACGUUUUUGCGAGGGAUGGAAUAACGUUUUUUCGACGAGAAAUUUCGAACGAGUCCGGUGAGAAUUUGUGAAUUCGUUGAAAGAAACAUUUUCUGCGUAAAAAAUAAAAAUAAUUGCGCCCUCGAAUGAAAUCGAAAGAAGUGCUUUGGAAACGAUGCAGCGUUUUUGAGGAACCAUCCAGCAGGAAACUUUUCUAUUAAAGUUUUCAAUAUUAUUACUCGUAUUUUCUUGCAACUUAAGAGUUUUUUUUUAACUUGUAUAUUUUCAGAAUGAUAGAAGUAAUAGGAAACUAUGAUUGGAUAAAAAUUCGAGAAUUUUUCGUUUCGAGUUUCCGGCUAUGUAUGAAAGUACGAUCUUAGGCACGAUUUUAGAGAUAUAAAAGGUACUUCAAAAAAACGAAAUCAGUAGUUUCGAGUAAAUUUGGAUCGAGCAUUUUUAUACAGACAUUCUUUCUGUGCAAUCAUUUUUCUUCGAAAUUGCGUCACACAAAAAUCUACAAAAUGAAUUAUAAAAAAAGUUUAGAAACUUUUGAUUGUUGAUAAAAUUGAUGCAUAAUUAAACCGAACUUCUUCAACAAGGAUAAUAACUAGGAAGGUCUUCCAAACUUUGAACAACUCUAUAAACGAUAGUGAAUGACCUCGAAAAAUCCACGCAGCAUAGGUCAGAGAACUCGUCUUCGAGAGGAUUACACGCAUGCAUAGUUAAAAACACGUGUAUAUAGUUCAUUGCCUUCGAAUUUCGAAACUUCCCUCAUCCAGAAGAAAAAUUAUACUCAAAAACAAAUAUUCCUCUCGAGAUAGAAUAAAUCUUCAACCCUUUAUUUAUAUAUUGAAUUAUUUUUAUAAAAUCGAGCUCAAUAUUUUCUCUUAAAAAAAACAAUGAAAAUUAAAAGACGCCAAAAAAUUUUCAAAACAUCGAAAUAUCAAAUAUCGAUUUUAACAAUUGUACCAGAAGAGAAGGGAAAAAAAUGGCCGAAUUUCAACGGACAUGAUCCCAGUUAACAAAUGUUCUUUUUUUUUUUUCAAAAAUUAUCUUUAAUGCCAAACAGGCGUGAAACGUGCGAAUUGAUGGUUAACAAAUUCCAAUUAACGAUAAACGACGAGAAUCAAUUUAUCUUUCGGCAAAGCUUUUACGCGUGUAACAAAAAUCAUUUUCGAUCGACAACGUGACGUGGAUUAUCGAAAUUUUCGGUUUUAACACGGAUCGUUAAAUGUGUGUAAAGUAUGAAAAUUGAGACGAGGAUUUGAUAGACGCGUAACAUUGUCAAAAAUAAACUGUAAGUGGCAAGAUGCAACUUCCUGUUUGAGUUACGUAAGCGGCAAGCUUGUCUUCAUUCAUUAGCUGUUGCGCUAACAAUAAGUCGAAGUGUUCAAAGUCAAUAGUAUUUUUAACUUUAUUGUGUGCGUGUGAAAAUCAGUGGACAUUAUUUUUCUAUUUAUAGCGUAUUUCGAUGAUUCCAUAUUUUUCCCCUUUUUCUUUCUUUUUAUACCAACGCGAUGUUUAUUCUAUAUUGAAAGAUAAUAUAAAAAAAAUUAUUUAUUUUCUUGAAAUGUCAAUUUUUAAAUUUCGAAAGUAAUAUAUUGUAUAUUUUUUUUCUUAUUAAUAUUUAAUAUUUUGAACUUCGAUAAAUAUUUUGUAAUGUUACAUUUUAAUGUUUAUUCAUUAUUAUUUUGGUUUGCAAAGUUCUUCUCGGAAAUAUAUGUCUGCAACUUGAGAAUAUAUUGCAUAAGCAUAUUAUAAAUAUUUAUGGAUCUUUAGAAAAUAAAUUGAAUAAUUUGGUUAA